rnacentral:rRNA from 1 species
AGGGUUUGAUUAUGGCUCAGAUUGAACGCUGGCGGCAUGCCUUACACAUGCAAGUCGAACGGCAGCACGGGGGCAACCCUGGUGGCGAGUGGCGAACGGGUGAGUAAUACAUCGGAACGUGUCCUGUAGUGGGGGAUAGCCCGGCGAAAGCCGGAUUAAUACCGCAUACGCUCUGCGGAGGAAAGCGGGGGCUCCUUCGGGACCUCGCGCUACAGGGGCGGCCGAUGGCAGAUUAGCUAGUUGGUGGGGUAAAGGCCUACCAAGGCGACGAUCUGUAGCUGGUCUGAGAGGACGACCAGCCACACUGGGACUGAGACACGGCCCAGACUCCUACGGGAGGCAGCAGUGGGGAAUUUUGGACAAUGGGCGCAAGCCUGAUCCAGCAAUGCCGCGUGUGUGAAGAAGGCCUUCGGGUUGUAAAGCACUUUUGUCCGGAAAGAAAACCUCAGCCCUAAUACGGCGGGGGGAUGACGGUACCGGAAGAAUAAGCACUGGCUAACUACGUGCCAGCAGCCGCGGUAAUACGUAGGGUGCAAGCGUUAAUCGGAAUUACUGGGCGUAAAGCGUGCGCAGGCGGUCCGCUAAGACAGAUGUGAAAUCCCCGGGCUUAACCUGGGAACUGCAUUUGUGACUGGCGGGCUAGAGUAUGGCAGAGGGGGGUAGAAUUCCACGUGUAGCAGUGAAAUGCGUAGAGAUGUGGAGGAAUACCGAUGGCGAAGGCAGCCCCCUGGGCCAAUACUGACGCUCAUGCACGAAAGCGUGGGGAGCAAACAGGAUUAGAUACCCUGGUAGUCCACGCCCUAAACGAUGUCAACUAGUUGUCGGGCCUUCAUUGGCUUGGUAACGUAGCUAACGAGUGAAGUUGACCGCCUGGGGAGUACGGUCGCAAGAUUAAAACUCAAAGGAAUUGACGGGGACCCGCACAAGCGGUGGAUGAUGUGGAUUAAUUCG